rnacentral:rRNA from 1 species
UACGAAGGGGCUAGCGUUGUUCGGAUUUACUGGGCGUAAAGCGCACGUAGGCGGUUUGUUAAGUCAGAGGUGAAAUCCCGGAGCUCAACUCCGGAACUGCCUUUGAUACUGGCAAGCUAGAGUCCGGAAGAGGUAAGUGGAACUCCUAGUGUAGAGGUGGAAUUCGUAGAUAUUAGGAAGAACACCAGUGGCGAAGGCGGCUUACUGGUCCGGAACUGACGCUGGAGGUGACGAAAGCGUGGGGAGCAAACAGG